GCCAGUGUGGGGCCGGAUUCCUGGGAGCUCUCCAGUGUCUCGGGGAACUUCGUUAAUGUUGCUUUAAACCAUCCGAGGGAUGAGAUGCACACGGCAUUCUGUGCAGCUUAUAAACCCCAUGACAAGCCCAACACCCAAUUAAAAUCUCAAUACAAAUACGGUAUAAUCCCAAACCGCAAAGAAAGAAAAUGUCCCCAAAGCUUCCCACUCAGCCGCUUAAACACGGCACCUGAAAAUUAAAGACAGAUUAGAGGAAAUGACCUGUACAUAUCUGUGACAGGGGUAAUUCUACUCCUAAUAUGUUCCUUGGAAAAUAGAAAUAUUAGAGGAAGGUAGCAUGUGAGCAGAAUCAGCCAUUAUGUGUGUCACUUGCUGCCUAAUUUUAAACCCCGGGAGGGCACAGACUCAGGGCUGACUUUUAAAUACUUUUCUCAUUAGCCGUCUUAUUUACCGACUGUCCCUUUCACUGCAUUAUUGCUUUAUCAACAUAAAGCGCCAGAUGCUUAUCAUACUGAUGAAGUGCUUACAAGCUGAAACGUGACAGGAAGCCCUCAGGGUGCAAAGCUCAGUGUCGGUUCCCUGCGCGGUCCAGUGCAACGCAAAACACGAGGAGCGCCACCGCUGAACACGCGCCAUAACCUGAACACCACAGAACGUCCAGCAACGUCACACUGACGCAGAGAGGGAAGCUGAAGCAUAAGGAAGGACACACCAGAGUGGAGACGACGGCUGUAAAAUGAGAGCUGACAGCUGGGGGGAGGAGACACACGGGGGAGGGAAGAGGUUGGAGAACAUAACGGCCAAACGGCAGAGGUCAGGACGGCAGCCGGGGCGCUGCUGGGGGGCCGCUGAGACGGGAGGACGGGGAAGC